rnacentral:rRNA from 1 species
AUCCGUCGGUGACAAGCGUUAUCCGGAUUUACUGGGCGUAAAGGGCGUGUAGGCGGUCUUGCAAGUCAGAAGUGAAAUUCCUGAGCUCAACUCGGGCGCUGCUUCUGAAACUGCAGGACUUGAGUGCUGGAGGGGAUAGCGGAAUUCCUAGUGGAGCGGUAAAAUGCGCAGAUAUUAGGAAGAACACCGGUGGCGAAGGCGGCUAUCUGGACAGUAACUGACGCUGAGGCGCGAAAGCGUGGGGAGCAAACAGGAUUAGAUACCCUGGUAGUCCACGCCGUAAACGGUGAAUACUAGGUGUAGGGGGUAUCGACUCCUUCUGUGCCGCAGUUAACACAAUAAGUAUUCCGCCUGGGGAGUACGGCCGCAAGGUUGAAACUCAAAUGAAUUGACGGGG